AGUGAACGCUGGCGGCAGGCCUAACACAUGCAAGUCGAACGGCAGCACAAGAGAGCUUGCUCUCUGGGUGGCGAGAGGCGGACGGGUGAGGAAUGCAUCGGAAUCUGCCCAUUUGUGGGGGAUAACCUCGGGAAACCGGGACUAAUACCGCAUACGACCUACGGGUGAAAGCAGGGGAUCUUCGGACCUUGCGCAGAUGGAUGAGCCGAUGCCGGAUUAGCUAGUUGGAGGGGUAAAGGCCCACCAAGGCGACGAUCCGUAGCUGGUCUGAGAGGAUGAUCAGCCACACUGGAACUGAGAAACGGCCCAGACUCCUACGGGAGGCAGCAGUGGGGAAUAUUGGACAAUGGGCGCAAGCCUGAUCCAGCCAUGCCGCGUGUGUGAAGAAGGCCUUCGGGUUGUAAAGCACUUUUGUUGGGAAAGAAAAGCAGCCGGUUAAUACCCGGUUGUCAUGACGGUACCCAAAGAAUAAGCACCGGCUAACUUCGUG
rnacentral:rRNA from 1 species